CACAGAGAAAUGACUGCUGAACUUACCUAAAGGUUUGGGACCCACACUUGAUGCUCCAAACUCCUGCUCCUUGCCAGAGGAUGCUGGCAGAAUGUGAAGCACCCGGAUGUCCAGUUGUGCCCUGGGGAGCCCACCAGCAGCAGACGACGCUCAUCAGCUUGCUGUGGGAGUUAUCUCUAUCCACAGUUAGCUACAUCCUCUCGACAUCACCGGGAAGUUCCAACCCUUUGCCCUCCAUCACACGCGCUCAUACGCAGAGCGAGCGGCUGAGAAGCUAGUCACAAUGGUGGGGCCAGUUUAACAACUAGGCAGUCUUGACACUGAAGAGGUGGUCUGGUUGUUAAGAGCGCUGACUGCUCUUCCAGAGGACCCAGGUUCAGGUCUCAGCACCCACAUUGGUGACUCACAACUGCCUCUAUCUUCAGCUGCAAGGGAUCCCUUCUAGCCUCCUUGGGCACCUGAACAUGCUCCACAGCUGGGGAUUCAUGGGUGGUACUGUCACCUGGUAAAAAAAAAAAAAAAAAAAAAGAACAACAA